UUAUAUAUAAAUAAGUGCUGGUAGUUUAUAGGUAAACUAUGAAAGAGUGUGUGCUAUGUAAAACUCGUUACCAAAAGGGAAGUGGGGUUACAUUUCACAAGUUUCCGUCAGACACACAAAAACUGGAAUUAUGGUUGCAAAAUAUUAAAAAGCCUGGUUGGCAUCCAAAAAAAUAUGAUUACGUCUGUUCAAAACACUUUUCUGAUGACUGUUUUAUUAAACAUACCUCAUACACUACUUUGAAAAAGUGCAGUAAACCUACAAUGUUCUGUAGCAGUGCCACAAACGUAUCUUCAACACAUGAAAGUAUAGUUUUUCCAACACCUGAAACAGGGAAGGUUACCUCCACACUCCCUGUGCCUGAAACAAUAGCUGUUUAUGUUAAAAGAGAAAUUAUUACAG